rnacentral:rRNA from 1 species
AUUGAACGCUGGCGGCAUGCUUUACACAUGCAAGUCGAACGGCAGCGCGGGCUUCGGCCUGGCGGCGAGUGGCGAACGCGUGAGUAAUGCAUCGGAACGUGCCCAGUAGUGGGGGAUAGCCCGGCGAAAGCCGGAUUAAUACCGCAUACGACCUGAGGGUGAAAGCGGGGGACCGAAAGGCCUCGCGCUAUUGGAGCGGCCGAUGUCGGAUUAGCUAGUUGGUGGGGUAAAGGCUUACCAAGGCGACGAUCCGUAGCUGGUCUGAGAGGACGACCAGCCACACUGGGACUGAGACACGGCCCAGACUCCUACGGGAGGCAGCAGUGGGGAAUUUUGGACAAUGGGGGCAACCCUGAUCCAGCCAUGCCGCGUGCGGGAAGAAGGCCUUCGGGUUGUAAACCGCUUUUGUUCGGGAAGAAAUCCUCUGGGCUAAUACCCCGGGGGGAUGACGGUACCGGAAGAAUAAGCACCGGCUAACUACGUG